UGGGGAUUCGUCUAAUGGCAGGACAGCGGACUCUGACUCCGUAUGUGGAGGUUCGAAUCCUCCAUCCCCAGCCA
rnacentral:tRNA from 12 species